rfam:Aminobacter sp. Root100 contig_2, whole genome shotgun sequence.
ACCGCUCUAACGGGGUGCCUGUCGCGCGCAAGCGGGCCGGCUGAGAGGCAUGGAGAGAUCCGGCCAACCCGCUGAACCUGAUCCGGUUUGUACCGGCGGAGGGAUUAGAUGCUUCGGACGC